AGAAUGCGCUGGAGCGUGGGAAAGUGAUGCACUUAGUUCAGGUGUUUGAGAAGCUGCUCAAGAUUCCGAAGCUCUGGCCCCCGAUGGUGCCAUGUUUGUUCCAGGCACGAGGAAGAUGGAGAAGCUGGAUUUUUAAACCUCGGUGAUGGCCGGCAACUUUGCUCAUAUUGUUCUUCAAUAGCGGUCAUGACACGAGAGGAACACAAGUUUAUUAUCCAAAAUGUGUUUGAAUUCUUUAGAAGCCUCAAACUUCAAGUGAAUGAAAACAUUCUCAUUCUUUUCGUCGACAACUAUCAGAUGGACAAAUUGAGAAAGGGUGGUUGCUACUUAUGUAGUCUAUCAACUUGGAAUCCAGAAAUAUCAACUUACAGUUUACCAGCUAACUUGUGGUAUAUUCUAACCAGAUGGAUUCCAUACAGGCUUUCUUAUUGCCUAAUUCAAACAGUAAGU